UAUGGCUAGUGUAAUUCUAAUAGCUUGUCUUGCUAUAUUGGGUUUAAUCAUAGCAAUUUCUCUUUUUUUGGCUGGAGGAUAUUUGUGGUGGAGGCACAAAAGAUCCCAAUUGCAGUUUAUUGAGCCAAAUGAAGAUGAGGAGUCAAGUAGUUACAGUCUUAGAGCUGCACAGGAUAUCACUGACACCGGAAAUCCACCAAUAAAACCACAAAUUCCGAUGACUCCGGCUUCUACAAAUCAGCUUCAAAACAACAUCAACAAAAAGUUAAAUGGAUUUUUAAGCCUAAGAACACCUUUAAUUGGCUCAACGGCGCAACCCUCAAAGCCACUAAAUAUGUCUCAUGCUGGAAAUUUAAGUGAUAGCACAACAAAAGAUGCGACAAAUAAGAGUAUCUCUAUGACGGAUAUGUAUCUUGAUAGCACGGAUUCGAGUGAAAAUGUUGGACAAAUACACUUUUCUUUGGAAUAUGAUUUUCAAAAUACAACUUUAAUAUUAAAAGUCCUACAAGGAAAAGAACUUCCAGCUAAAGAUCUAAGUGGAACUUCCGAUCCUUACGUUAGAGUCACUUUACUGCCAGAUAAAAAGCAUAGAUUGGAAACCAAAAUUAAACGAAGAACCUUAAAUCCACGUUGGAAUGAAACAUUUUAUUUUGAAGGAUUUCCUAUACAAAAACUGCAAUCUCGUGUUUUGCACCUGCAUGUUUUUGACUACGAUCGGUUCUCAAGAGAUGACUCCAUAGGAGAAGUGUUCUUACCCCUCUGCCAGGUCGAUUUUGCCGGUAAGCAGUCAUUUUGGAAAGCCCUAAAGCCCCCUGCAAAGGAUAAAUGUGGAGAACUUCUUUCAUCACUUUGUUAUCAUCCUUCUAAUUCUAUUUUGACUCUGACGUUGAUUAAAGCCAGAAACCUCAAGGCUAAGGAUAUUAAUGGAAAAUCUGAUUUGACUACGACUCAGAGACCUACCGUUACUCCCGGGAGUCCAAGAUCGAUAAAGUUGGCCGCAUAAAGCUCUACGGACAAACAACGCACAAAAACAACCCAAUGACGUAUAGCCUUUACGGAUGAUGCCACUAAAGGGCGCUAGAUUCAAAAAGUCCUAUUUACUUUGGAACGCACCUUGUAUGUAGAUCCUUACGUAAAAGUGUGGCUUCAAUUCGGAGACAAAAAAGUGGAAAAGAGAAAAACGCC
rnacentral:misc_RNA from 1 species